rnacentral:tRNA from 1 species
GAUUGGAUGGCUGAAAAUAGGCAGUAGACUGUAAAUUUAUUUAUGAGAAAAAUCUCUUCAAUCA